AUUUAUAAAAGUAUAAAUAAAUUUUAUGCAUAAUUUCAAAAGAUUGGUAUGAAUAAUACGAAACAAUUUUACGUAACCUGAAUGAUUAUAACCUAUAUGAAAGUUGAAAAUUUGUCAGUAAAAAGAGAUAAAAAAAAGAAAAUCAGUGGUUUGAAACAAGAAAUAUUUGAAAAUAAGAGCUUAGUGGAAAUGGACAAUGUGGAAAUUAUAAUGGUCGAAUCUCGUGAUUUGUGUUGUAAAAACUGUAAAUACUGUGAUGGAAUAUUUAGAAAGAUUCUGGUAAAAAAAGAAAAUUCAUGAACCUAAGCACAUGUGAACUUAUUAUGAGCACAAUUGCUCAAUUUUUUUCUGUAGAAGAUAAAGUCGAGAUAAAGAUCCGAGCUAUCGUGUGGAUUUGUUCAAUUGCCAUUAAUAAAUUUGUAAUAAUUUGUAAUGAAAUGACAACACUCGUAUCAUUAGAAUCCACUGCAUUGUGUUUUUUUGAAAUGAAAAUAGUGAAGGAAGAUUUGACUCUAGUCUUCUUGAAUGUGAAAAAAUUCAUCCAAUAUGCACACUGUCACUGCACAUACUGUCAAUGUACACACUUUAAGAUGGGCAAUUUCAAGAUAUUAUGCAGAAGCACGAUCGUUAACUUUAAAGCCAUUCUAUUCUAUCAUCUUUAAACGUAAUGAAACAAAGUAAGAAAUUUGGUUACCAGAUAUAGGAACUUUUGGUCCUUUGGUACAACAUGUAUCUAAAAAUAUAAUGACAGUAAAAUACUAAGCUUGGAUUAAACAUCCAUCAGAAGAAUUUAAAUUUGUGAAUAUUAAUUUAGAUGAAAAUGAUUUAAGCGUAUCAAAAGAACAUUAACAUUAACAUAUCACAUAUCACAAGAUGAUAAUAUAAGAAGAUAAAAUGGUAAAGCAUUGAUACAGAUGUUUCGAGAUGAUACUUUAACACUUGAAAAUUUAGAUGGAAAUAGAUUUGGAUUCAAGGACUCAAUAUAGAAUCUACAAUUUUACCAUACAGUAUCAUUGAAAAUUUUGAAGUUGGAUGUGAUCGUUCCGUAGAGAAUAAUAUGAUAUCUAUUUAUAUUUUUAUAUUUAACAUUAAUAUUCAAUGAUAGGCAAUGAUAGAGAUUGGCAUGGUGAAAUUAAAUAGAAGUUUGAAAAUGAUAUGGUAAGCGAUAAUUGAAGAAAUGAGUCAUGAAAAAAAAUUGAAGAUAAAUUUAUGAGCGAAAAUAAAUAUAAAUCUGAGGAUAUCUUCGUUAACAAUAUUCCUACGUAUUUAGAAGCAUUGAAAAAAAAAAAAAAAAAGAAAAAGAAA